rnacentral:rRNA from 1 species
AGUGAACGCUGGCGGUAGGCCUAACACAUGCAAGUCGAACGGCAGCACAGUAAGAGCUUGCUCUUACGGGUGGCGAGUGGCGGACGGGUGAGGAAUACAUCGGAAUCUACUUUUUCGUGGGGGAUAACGUAGGGAAACUUACGCUAAUACCGCAUACGACCUACGGGUGAAAGCAGGGGAUCUUCGGACCUUGCGCGAUUGAAUGAGCCGAUGUCGGAUUAGCUAGUUGGCUGGGUAAAGGCCCGCCAAGGCGACGAUCCGUAGCUGGUCUGAGAGGAUGAUCAGCAACACUGGAACUGAGACACGGUCCAGACUCCUACGGGAGGCAGCAGUGGGGAAUAUUGGACAAUGGGCGCAAGCCUGAUCCAGCCAUACCGCGUGGGUGAAGAAGGCCUUCGGGUUGUAAAGCCCUUUUGUUGGGAAAGAAAAGCAGCAGGUUAAUACCCCGCUGUUCUGACGGUACCCAAAGAAUAAGCACCGGCUAACUUCGUG